rnacentral:rRNA from 1 species
GAUGAACGCUAGCUACAGGCUUAACACAUGCAAGUCGAGCGACCGGCGCACGGGUGAGUAACACGUAUCCAACCUGCCCUUCCCUUGGGGAUAGCCAUUCGAAAGCAAGAUUAAUACCCGAUAUAAAGGAUGGGGAUGCGUUCCAUUAGGUUGUUGGUGAGGUAUCGGCUCACCAAGCCUUCGAUGGAUAGGGGUUCUGAGAGGAAGGUCCACCGCAAGGGAACUGGGUGACGGACCAAACUCGGACGGGAGGCAGCAGUGGUGUAGAUUGGUCAAUGGGCGCGAGCCUGAACCAGCCAUGUAUCGUGAAGGAUGUAGGCUUAUGGGUCUUUAGCUUCUUUUAUAUAAGAAUAUGUAUUAUAUGAAUAAGGAUCGGCUAACUCCGUGCCAGCCGCCGCGGUAAUUC